AAUGAACGCUGGCGGCGUGCUUAACACAUGCAAGUCGAGCGAGGCCUGGGGGGCAACUCCCAGAGUCGAGCGGCGGACGGGUGAGUAACACGUGGGUAACCUGCCCGGAAGUGGGGAAUACCUCGGGGAAACUCGAGCUAAUACCGCAUGACAUCUUCGGGACGAAAGUCCUGACGAUCAAAGCGGGGGUCGCAAGAUCUCGCGCUACCGGAUGGGCCCGCGCCCGAUUAGCUAGUUGGGAGGUAACGGCUCACCAAGGCUUCGAUCGGUAACCGGCCUGAGAGGGCGAUCGGUCACACCGGAACUGAGACACGGUCCGGACUCCUACGGGAGGCAGCAGUGGGGAAUCUUGCGCAAUGGGCGAAAGCCUGACGCAGCAACGCCGCGUGAGGGAUGACGGCCU
rnacentral:rRNA from 1 species